GUGACUUUUUGUUCUACGAGAUCCUUGAUAGCUCCUGGUUUCCAAGCUCUUCUUCUUCUUCUUCUUCACCGGCAAACACACAUACACAGAUAGAAAGAGAGAAGUUGUUGUAGGGGUGGUUUGGCGGGGGAUCUCCAACAAUCCUCCCACUCAUUUUCGCAUCCUUCCGCCUCUUUGCUGCUUCCCAUGCUUCUUUCCUCUCGGUCUGAGGUCACAUUGACUGAUGGAUCUGUUCUGUGAGAGGAGAGAAAGAGCCAUUUUUCGGCACAAAAUCACCAAAAAUCG
ensembl:ncRNA T23E7.8 ncRNA